CGAGGGAGCAUGACCACUCCUUAGGCUCAGAGAAGGUAGAUUGCCACAGAGCAGAGCAGAGGGAUGGCAGGGUCUAAACAGGUAGAUGCAGGGGUGUGGGGUGGCAGCACAGAGUUUGGAAACAUGGCACAAAGGCCAGAUCUACUUCCUGAAAGAACCUUUAUCACAGAGGAAGUAGCUUCCAAGCAGAGGUACUGACAGGCCUUUCAUUUCAGAAGUGCAGACUAUCAGGCAGAGUCCUAUCAGGCAGUCAGCUGAGUUCUCUCCCAUGCCCCUCCGCAGAGACAGGGAGACUCAGUCUUAUUCUCAGAGUGACUGAAGCUGCAGAACAAUGCAUAGACUGCAGGAGAGCCAGGGACAAGACAGACAUCAAGCCAAAGCACCCUGUUGCUAUCAUUGCCCUCGAGGAAGCCCCAUCUGCUUACUGUGAGCCUCAUGUAGAAGGCACCUCCGCCCCAGAGGAAGAGUUUUGUCUCCACUCGAAAAGCUGGUCCAGCCAGCAAGUGGGACCUGCAGACAGGCUGUGAUACACAAGCAGGACAAAAGAUACUGACAGUCCCCAGCACCACACCUCAAGCUCACCUGCAUGAGGAGUACCAGAUCCCAAGUGCUGCGGAGCCGUUGUGACAUUUAAUAAAAAUAAUUCAAGGGCCAACUACAGAAAGAGGUAAGGAAAGGUGGAGUCGGACCACGGAAGAGAACGCCUGAGAACUGAGGUGUGGAGACCCAUCAUCGCCAGGACUGUUCUCGUCUUCAGCUCUCUGAGUGUCGGCUGCCCACCCCCAAAACUCUGAGAUAGACUAAGCUAAACGUAUGAAAGGUUGUAUCUGAAGCUAAGACUCCCGGAGGCAAAGGAGCAUGCUUUCCCAGCAGUCUCUGGCAUCCUGCUUCUGCCUAAUGACCUCACUGCUGAUCUCCCCCCACUUUGACAGCGGAGAGCCCUCCCAUAUACCAAUUCUUGAUCAUUUCCAACCCUGUGUAGGCUCUUCCUUCCCCUUCUGUGUCUGCUUUACAACACGAAACAAGCAAUAUUCAAGUCAUGAUAGAGACAGGAUAAACUGAGAUACUAAAGUGGCAGCCUUUGUCACCUUGUCUAGCCCACCGAGAUUCAUUACCUUGAGUUCUAACAGCACUCUGUCGUUUACUGAAGAAACUGAUGGAUAAAGAGAUCAACCCUGGACACACAGUCAGGAAAUGGCAGAGAUGGACUCUGCCACGCUCUAUAGGGAGUCAAAAGUCCCAAUUCUCCCCUAAGAGUCCUGUUACCUCUCCAUAAUGUGUCUACAGUGUAUCCUAUGCCCCUGUCGCCUGCCUUCCAGGUAGAAGAUCUCCUGGUAGGGAUCCAGUCUGACUCAGCAGAGUUCAGGAAGCAGGAGAGGAAACCGGAUCCUGAGCCCCCUUGGCUUAGAGAGUCCUAAGAGCAUAAGGAGCCAUUCCAGUCUGUCAGGACAGAUGUAAUCAGGGUGACCUCGCCUUUUUCACAGAUUCAUUAAAGUCUGUGUUCUGGGGUAAA